CUGAUCCAGCAUGCCGCGUGAGUGAUGAAGGCCUUAGGGUUGUAAAGCUCUUUCGCACGCGACGAUGAUGACGGUAGCGUGAGAAGAAGCCCCGGCUAACUUCGUGCCAGCAGCCGCGGUAAUACGAAGGGGGCUAGCGUUGUUCGGAAUUACUGGGCGUAAAGGGCGCGUAGGCGGCCUGUUUAGUCAGAAGUGAAAGCCCCGGGCUCAACCUGGGAAUAGCUUUUGAUACUGGCAGGCUUGAGUUCCGGAGAGGAUGGUGGAAUUCCCAGUGUAGAGGUGAAAUUCKUAGAUAUUGGGAAGAACACCGGUGGCGAAGGCGGCCAUCUGGACGGACACUGACGCUGAGGCGCGAAAGCGUGGGGAGCAAACAGGAUUAGA
rnacentral:rRNA from 1 species